rnacentral:tRNA from 1 species
AGAGAUGUAGCUCAAUGGUAGAGCACUUGCCUCACAAAUGCAAAGCCCUGGGUUCAACCCCCAGUAUCUAUC